CGGGUGAGUAACACGUGGGUAACCUGCCUGUAAGACUGGGAUAACUCCGGGAAACCGGAGCUAAUACCGGAUAGUUCCUUGAACCGCAUGGUUCAAGGAUGAAAGACGGUUUCGGCUGUCACUUACAGAUGGACCCGCGGCGCAUUAGCUAGUUGGUGAGGUAACGGCUCACCAAGGCGACGAUGCGUAGCCGACCUGAGAGGGUGAUCGGCCACACUGGGACUGAGACACGGCCCAGACUCCUACGGGAGGCAGCAGUAGGGAAUCUUCCGCAAUGGACGAAAGUCUGACGGAGCAACGCCGCGUGAGUGAUGAAGGUUUUCGGAUCGUAAAGCUCUGUUGUUAGGGAAGAACAAGUGCAAGAGUAACUGCUUGCACCUUGACGGUACCUAACCAGAAAGCCACGGCUAACUACGUGCCAGCAGCCGCGGUAAUACGUAGGUGGCAAGCGUUGUCCGGAAUUAUUGGGCGUAAAGGGCUCGCAGGCGGUUUCUUAAGUCUGAUGUGAAAGCCCCCGGCUCAACCGGGGAGGGUCAUUGGAAACUGGGAAACUUGAGUGCAGAAGAGGAGAGUGGAAUUCCACGUGUAGCGGUGAAAUGCGUAGAGAUGUGGAGGAACACCAGUGGCGAAGGCGACUCUCUGGUCUGUAACUGACGCUGAGGAGCGAAAGCGUGGGGAGCGAACAGGAUUAGAUACCCUGGUAGUCCACGCCGUAAACGAUGAGUGCUAAGUGUUAGGGGGUUUCCGCCCCUUAGUGCUGCAGCUAACGCAUUAAGCACUCCGCCUGGGGAGUACGGUCGCAAGACUGAAACUCAAAGGAAUUGACGGGGGCCCGCACAGCGGUGGAGCAUGUGGUUUAAUUCGAAGCAACGCGAAGAACCUUACCAGGUCUUGACAUCCUCUGACAACCCUAGAGAUAGGGCUUUCCCUUCGGGGACAGAGUGACAGGUGGUGCAUGGGUUGUCGUCAGCUCGUGUCGUGAGAUGUUGGGUUAAGUCCGCAACGAGCGCAACCCUUGAUCUUAGUUGCCAGCAUUUAGUUGGGCACUCUAAGGUGACUGCGGUGACA
rnacentral:rRNA from 1 species